GGCGUUAAGUUGCAGGGUAUAGACCCGAAACCCGGUGAUCUAGCCAUGGGCAGGUUGAAGGUUGGGUAACACUAACUGGAGGACCGAACCGACUAAUGUUGAAAAAUUAGCGGAUGACCUGUGGCUGGGGGUGAAAGGCCAAUCAAACCGGGAGAUAGCUGGUUCUCCCCGAAAGCUAUUUAGGUAGCGCCUCGUGAAUUCAUCUCCGGGGGUAGAGCACUGUUUCGGCUAGGGGGCCAUCCCGGCUUACCAACCCGAUGCAAACUGCGAAUACCGGAGAAUGUUAUCACGGGAGACACACGGCGGGUGCUAACGUCCGUCGUGAAGAGGGAAACAACCCAGACCGCCAGCUAAGGUCCCAAAGUCAUGGUUAAGUGGGAAACGAUGUGGGAAGGCCCAGACAGCCA
rnacentral:rRNA from 1 species